AAUCUAUAGUUUUUUGAAUUGGGAACUGGAAUGAAUGAUUUGACGAAGURUAGGCUGUAUCGUUAUGAAAUAUUGAAUUUAACUUUUUAGUCAAAAGGCUGAAAUGAGAAUAGAGGACGAGAAGACCCUAUAGAGCUUGAUUAGUUUAUGAUUUUAUGGGAUUUGGUCUUGAAUUUUGUAUUGUCUUGAAUUAAUUUCAUUGGGGUGAUGAGUAGAUAGUAAAUAACUCUAUGUGUAAUUGGAAUAUAAAUAAGUAGAAUUUAUGUUUUUGUAUUAUGAAUAGGAAGGGAAGUUACCUUAGGGAUAACAGCGUUAUUUUUCUUGAGAGUUCUAAUCGAUAGAAGAGUUUGCGACCUCGAUGUUGGAUUAAGAGAAUUUUUGGGUGUAGAAGCUUGAAAGGUAGGUCUGUUCGACCAUUAAAUU
rnacentral:rRNA from 1 species